UGGGGAAUUUUGGACAAUGGGCGAAAGCCUGAUCUAGCAAUGCCGCGUGUGUGAAGAAGGCCUUCGGGUUGUAAAGCACUUUUGUCCGGAAAGAAAUCCUUGGCUCUAAUACAGUCGGGGGAUGACGGUACCGGAAGAAUAAGCACCGGCUAACUACGUGCCAGCAGCCGCGGUAAUACGUAGGGUGCAAGCGUUAAUCGGAAUUACUGGGCGUAAAGCGUGCGCAGGCGGUUUGCUAAGACCGAUGUGAAAUCCCCGGGCUCAACCUGGGAACUGCAUUGGUGACUGGCAGGCUAGAGUAUGGCAGAGGGGGGUAGAAUUCCACGUGUAGCAGUGAAAUGCGUAGAGAUGUGGAGGAAUACCGAUGGCGAAGGCAGCCCCCUGGGCCAAUACUGACGCUCAUGCACGAAAGCGUGGGGAGCAAACAGGAUUAGAUACCCUGGUAGUCCACGCCCUAAACGAUGUCAACUAGUUGUUGGGGAUUCAUUUCCUUAGUAACGUAGCUAACGCGUGAAGUUGACCGCCUGGGGAGUACGGUCGCAAGAUUAAAACUUCAAAUGGAAUUGACGGGGUCAUAGCUGUUUCCU
rnacentral:rRNA from 1 species